UUCAUUUGUUGUUGUGUAGGCUGGGCUUGUGCCAAGCUUGAAUCCUCUUGUGAAGGAGUUUCUCAAUGCUGCUGAUGACAAGCGGAAGGAAGUCCUCUCUAAAAUAGAAGAGGAUGUUGCUAAGCUCAGCGGUUUUGCAGCCAAGCAUGGAAAGAUAUAUGUGACAGCUGCAAAGAAGAUCAUGGACAAGGGCUCUGACUACACUAAGAAGGAGACUGAGAGGCUUCACCGCAUGCUGGAGAAGAUUCCAAGUUCACACAGCAGGAGUUGCCAGCUUGCAAGCCGAUUCUUACUCCAAAAUGGGUAGGCUUACGAGUUGUGAAGAUUAUGAUGCUACUGGUAAGUUUGGUCUUACUCAGUUUUCACUUCAAAGUUUGACGUCGGCACUCUUGGGAGUUUGAGGAACUUCCUUCAGAAUGUGAGAGAUUUUUAUGGGAAUGCUCUGCUUGAGUACCAUGCUUGCCAUAUGAUAAAGAUAACAUUUCUUGUUCUGAGGCAUAUAUGAAAACAAUCAAACAUAUAUUGGGCUGACCGAAAUCCCAUUGUUCCUAAGGAACGAAAAUUGGUAUUGAUGCAAUAUAUAAAGCAUGUGCUUGCUGAACGUCUUUUCUAUUCGUCAUCACAUUUCUUUUCUGCUUUCCUAAUUUUCUCGAAUGCUUCUUUGCAAAUACACCAUGGAUUAGGAUUACCUGUGGGUUUCAAUCUUUUUUUUGUAGGUUACGCCUAAUCUUUAUGGCAAUUUGGUGGCUAACACAGCUGCAGGUAUUGUUGGAGGGACGGGCAUCAUGCCUGGAGAUAGGGAUUGCAGCUAAUUCUUUAUUAUUUGUUGUUUUCCCCUCUGAAAAAAAUUGUUCUGGCAUAGCGUUUCAUUUCUGUAAUUUAUUACAAAAAAUAAUAUUUUGGGCAUGACUUAUCUCCCUUUGUUCCUACAUUGUUACAUAUUUGUAAAGACUUUGUGGCAUAUGGAACUUCUUGGAGCUUUUUGCUAUGGUCUUCAUCAAGUUUUCUACCAAUGACUUAUCUCCCGCCACCCCGACCCGCUCAUCAAGGCCAACGACACCAUCAAGAUCGAUCUGGAGACCAACAAGAUCAUAGACUUCAUCAAGUUUGACAUCGGCAACGUGGUCAUGGUGACUGGCGGGAGGAACAUCGGACGUGUAGGAGUCAUCAAGAACAGGAAGAAGCACAAGGGCAGCUGAGACCAUCCACGUGCUGCUUGGAGCUUUUUGCUAUGUCUAGUUUUCUCCUAUUUGUUGUACAGGAAAACAUAGAAUAGAAUUCAAAUUUGGUGGUCGCAAAAGUGUGGAGACUUUAAUUCAUCUAAAGUUAGGCUUAACAUUAGUGCAAACAGUUGUAUUUUAGUUUAGAUUUAGAGUACAGUUAUGUAUGCGUUGUUUGACAAUGCUUAUUUAUGAUAUAUUGAAUGGUACUUAUUUAUAUUAUAUUAAUUA